UCCCCGGUAGCUCAGUGGUAGAGCGCGCGCCUGUUAAGCGCUAGGUCGAUGGUUCGAAU
rnacentral:tRNA from 1 species